rnacentral:pre_miRNA from 1 species
UUCUUGUCGUUUUUACUAUAUUGAAAUUAUGACGAUUCGUUCGAAAUAUAGGAAAAUGACAAAGAGCUG